UUCCCACUUUUAUGAAGUUCCAGACCAGAGAAUAGAGAGACGAGAAUAAUAAGAAGAUGGAGAAGAAGAAGUUUUGUUAAAGAAGUUCAUGGAUGUGCUCCUGAAAUCAAGCUCACGCAUUAUGGUUCAAGCUUGGGGGUUGAGGACCGCAGUAGGUUAAAACAAGUGCAGAUGAUCAGUGGUGAUUUGUGUAGCCGAUCUCGAAUAUAGUUGGGAAACAGGGUAAGGUUGUAUAAAGAAGUAAUAUAUAUGAUUGACGUUUCUUUCUUUUCUCUUGCCUCUCGGGUUAUGCGUUGAUGACACUCAUUUGUGUACAAGGUUUAAUCACCUUCUAAACUAAAUAGCAGGUAAAUGACAUGUUUUAUGGAUAAACAAAUUUAGGCUACUAAGAUCCAGUUUAAUGGCUUAUUGUGAUAGAUAAGAUGCAACUAUCCCUCUCUAAAAAUAGAAGCCUCUGAUCUGCUGAUUCAUGGUCUAUCAGCAUGUUUGGAUGAUGUGUUAAGCAUUUCACAUUCUCACCUUGAAAUGUCUCUUCAUGUUAUUUUCUUUUCUAUUUUAAUUUAUGUCUAUGUGCUCCUACAAUAGUCCUUUGCUCAAUGCUCAUUUUAUUUUUAAA